UGCGGUAGCGGAGGGCCCUUCUCUCAGGACACGGAAUAAACCUGUUUCUCCUUUGCCCGGACAGAACUGGGGUGGACGGAGUCCGUACCCUAUCUUGACAGGCCUCCGUCCCCGCUGGAGUUUUAUCGAGAAUGGGUGAGUCCGAACAAACCUUGUAUAAUUCAGAAUGCCAUCACCCACUGGCCGGCUCUGAAGAAAUGGACUUCAGCGUACCUCAGGGAGGUAGUGGGUCCCAAGGUAGUGAGUGUGGCAGUAACACCAAAUGGUUAUGCAGAUGCGGUGUUUCAGGACCGUUUUGUCAUGCCAGAGGAGCGCCAAAUGGCUUUCAUGGACUUUUUGGACAUUGUGGAGAAGAAAGUGACCUCUCCCAACGUAUUCUAUGUGCAGAAGCAGUGUUCAAACCUCACUGAGGAGUUCCCUGAACUUGUCUGUGAUGUGCAGCCUGACAUACCAUGGAUGAGUGAGGCACUCGGGAAGAAGCCUGAUGCUGUGAAUUUCUGGCUUGGGGAGGCAGCUGCUGUGACAUCCUUACAUAAAGAUCAUUAUGAGAACUUGUACUGUGUGAUAUCAGGAGAGAAACAUUUCCUACUGCAUCCACCGAGUGACCGUCCCUUCAUCCCAUAUGAGCUCUAUCAGCCAGCAACCUACCAGGUAUCAGAAGAUGGCUCAUUUAAAAUUGUGGAUGAGAAGAGUGCUGAUAAGGUGCCCUGGAUCCCCCUGGACCCCUUGAACCCAGAUCUGGAACAGUAUCCAGAGUAUGCUCAGGCAAAACCUUUGCAGUGUACAGUGAGAGCUGGUGAGAUGUUAUACCUGCCUUCUCUCUGGUUCCACCAUGUUCAGCAAUCACAUGGCUGUAUAGCAGUGAAUUAUUGGUAUGACAUGGAAUAUGACCUUAAGUACAGCUAUUACCAACUCCUAGAUUGUCUCACAAAGGCCAUGAAAGUGUUAUAGCAGAGGUGGAAGACUCAAGCUUGUGAUCCCUCUCUCUGACAGGAUACAGUCAUCAGCAUCUGUGACUGGAGUACAAACAUGAUGCAAGUGAAAAGAACUGAACGUUAAAUUAUCCUCAACAAUGUGUGUCAACAGAUCGUGGCUAUUUUGCUUGAUUUUGGAGUCUAGAUCAAUCAGCCAGAUUUUUUGGCUUGUAAUCAGAAGGUUCGAUAAUAGCAUUUUUAGGUCUUUGCAUGUUGUUUCGGUGACGAUGAGCAAAAUAAAAUUGGAAGAGAGGCCAUCCAGGUUUUGGAAAUCCCAAAACAGAAGCCACGAUUGUUCAGAUCUACAGAUUGUUUUCAUAACAAUCCAAGCGGUCAAGGAAGAAUCUGCUGUGCCACCCAGCUGUGCAUCAGGCUGUGUCAGUCCGACACCUGCAUUCUGCUUCAGGCAGAAGUCCUGUCCGGGUGUAAUUCACUAAGUUCAGUGGCUGUGGUGUUUAAUGGUGAGAAAUUACAACUUCUGCAAUAAAUGGGUUGCUUUGACAGAUCCACGGUCAAUCUGCAAAUCACCUGUGGUCUCGUGGCAUGAUGGGUGAUUAUACAGCUUGCAGGC